UGAGCGGAGAUUAUGGAGCUUGCUUUAUAUAACUUAGCAGCGAACGGGUGAGUAACACGUAGAUAAUCUAUCCUAUACUGGGGGAUAGCCCGAUGAAAGUUGGAUUAAUACCGCAUAUAGCUAUAUAGUUGCAUGAUUAUGUAGUGAAAGAUUUAUUGGUAUAGGAGGAGUCUGCGGCACAUUAGCUAGUAGGUGAGGUAAAGGCUUACCUAGGCGACGAUGUGUAGCCGGUCUGAGAGGAUGAACGGCCACAAUGGAACUGAGACACGGUCCAUACUCCUACGGGAGGCAGCAGUGGGGAAUGUUGCACAAUGGGGGAAACCCUGAUGCAGCAACGCCGCGUGAGUGAAGAAGGUUUUCGGAUUGUAAAGCUCUGUUAGCAGGGAAGAGGAAGGACGGUACCUGCAGAGGAAGCCACGGCUAACUACGUGCCAGCAGCCGCGGUAAUACGUAGGUGGCAAGCGUUGUUCGGAAUAACUGGGCGUAAAGGAUGCGUAGGCGGUUAAACAAGUUAUAUGUUAAAUAUAUAGGCUUAACCUGUAGAAAGCAUAUAAAACUGUUUAACUAGAGUGCAGGAGAGGUAAGUGGAAUUCCUAGUGUAGCGGUGAAAUGCGUAGAGAUUAGGAAGAACACCAGUGGCGAAGGCGACUUACUGGACUGUAACUGACGCUGAGGCAUGAGAGCAUGGGGAGCAAACAGGAUUAGAUACCCUGGUAGUCCAUGCUGUAAACGAUGGGUACUAGGUGUGGGUUGUGAAUAACAAUUCGUGCCGUCGCAAACGCAAUAAGUACCCCGCCUG
rnacentral:rRNA from 1 species